UCCUACGGGAGGCAGCAGUGGGGAAUAUUGCACAAUGGGCGGAAGCCUGAUGCAGCAACGCCGCGUGCGGGAUGACGGCCUUCGGGUUGUAAACCGCUUUCGCCUGUGACGAAGCGUGAGUGACGGUAAUGGGUAAAGAAGCACCGGCUAACUACGUGCCAGCAGCCGCGGUGAUACGUAGGGUGCGAGCGUUGUCCGGAUUUAUUGGGCGUAAAGGGCUCGUAGGUGAUUGAUCGCGUCGGAAGUGUAAUCUUGGGGCUUAACCCUGAGCGUGCUUUCGAUACGGGUUGACUUGAGGAAGGUAGGGGAGAAUGGAAUUCCUGGUGGAGCGGUGGAAUGCGCAGAUAUCAGGAGGAACACCAGUGGCGAAGGCGGUUCUCUGGGCCUUUCCUGACGCUGAGGAGCGAAAGCGUGGGGAGCGAACAGGCUUAGAUACCCUGGUAGUCCACGCUGUAAACGGUGGGUACUAGGUGUGGGGUCCAUUCCACGGGUUCCGCGCCGUAGCUAACGCUUUAAGUACCCCGCCUGGGGAGUACGGCCGCAAGGCUAAAACUCAAAUGAAUUGACGGAA
rnacentral:rRNA from 1 species